CCUACGGGUGGCUGCAGUGGGGAAUAUUGGACAAUGGGGGGAACCCUGAUCCAGCCAUGCCGCGUGUGUGAAGAAGGCCCUCGGGUUGUAAAGCACUUUCAGUGAGGAAGAACGCCUGGUGGUUAAUACCCAUCAGGAAAGACAUCACUCACAGAAGAAGCACCGGCUAACUCCGUGCCAGCAGCCGCGGUAAUACGGAGGGUGCGAGCGUUAAUCGGAAUUACUGGGCGUAAAGCGCGCGUAGGUGGCUUGAUAAGCCGGUUGUGAAAGCCCCGGGCUCAACCUGGGAACGGCAUCCGGAACUGUCAAGCUAGAGUGCAGGAGAGGAAGGUAGAAUUCCCGGUGUAGCGGUGAAAUGCGUAGAGAUCGGGAGGAAUACCAGUGGCGAAGGCGGCCUUCUGGACCGACACUGACACUGAGGUGCGAAAGCGUGGGUAGCAAACAGGAUUAGAUACCCUAGUAGUC
rnacentral:rRNA from 1 species